CGGGAAAAGCCCAACUUGAAAAUCUCCCUUUGGAGAAUUGUAGUCUACAGAAGUGCCCUCUGUGGCGGGUGGAGCUCAAGUCCGCUGGAAGGCGGCGUCAGAGAGGGUGAGAACCCCGUCGGCUCUGUCCUUGCCACACCACGAGGUGCUUUCCACGAGUCGGGUUGUUUGUGAAUGCAGCCCUAAUUGGUAGGUAAAUCCCUACUAAGGCUAAAUACUGGCGAGAGACCGAUAGCGAACAAGUACCGUGAGGGAAAGAUGAAAAGAACUUUGGAAAGAGAGUUAAAAAGUGCUUGAAAUUGUUGAGGGGGAAGCGUUUGGAGGCCGUGGGUGCGCCUAGGCUUAUGCGUCUCUAACGAGCCGCUGCAUGCGCUAGGUGCUGGUCAGCAUGGGUUAGGGUGGCGGGAAAUGUGCUGGGGUUGACACCCGGUUCGUGCCGCCGCCUUGACCGAGGACUUGAAGGCCGCUUCGUCCAAUUUUUUGGAACUGCGGCCUCAAGAUGUUGGCAGAAGGCUUUCAACCGGCCCGUCUUGAAACACGGACCAAGGAGUCUAACAAGUAUGCGAGUUGGUGGGUAACGAAACCCAUGAGCGCAAGUAACCUGACUGGUGGGAUGGCUUUUAACCGGGCCUGCACCAUCGACCGACCAUGAUCUUCUGUGAAAGGUUUGAGUGCGAGCAUACCUGUUGGGACCCGAAAGAUGGUGAACUAUGCCUGAGCAGGGCGAAGCCAGAUGAAAUCUGGUGGAGGCUCGUAGAUGUGCUGACGUGCAAAUCGCUUUUCGGACUUGGGUAUAGGGGCGAAAGACUAAUCGAACCAUCUAGUAGCUGGUUCCCUCCGAAGUUUCCCCCAGGAUAGCUGGAGCUUGAUAUCAGUUUUAUCGGGUAAAGCGAAUGAUUAGAGGUUCGGGGGAUGAAACAUCCUUCACCUAUUCUCAAACUUUAAAUAGGUAAGACGUGCCGGUUGCUUGAUUGAACCGGCGCACUCAAUGUAAGCUCCAAGUGGGCCAUUUUUGGUAAGCAGAACUGGCGACGCGGGAUGAACCGAUAGCCGAGUUAAAGUGCCGGACUACGCGCUAACCUAGAUCCCACAAAGGGUGUCGCUUGAUAUAGACAGCAGGACGGUGGUCAUGGAAGUCGAAACCCGCUAAGGAGUGUGUAACAACUCACCUGCCGAAUCACGUGGCCCCGAAAAUGGAUGGCGCUGAAGCGCGUGACUUAUACUCGGCCAUGGAAGCAAGUGCGAGGCUUCCAUGAGUAGGAGGGCGUGGGCGUCGUUGCGCAGCCUUGUGGGCGUGAGCCCGGGUGAAACGGCGCCUAGUGCAGAUCUUGGUGGUAGUAGCAAAUAUUCAAAUGAGAACUUUGAAGACUGAAGUGGAGAAAGGUUCCAUGUGAACAGCAAUUGGACAUGGGUUAGUCGAUCCUAAGAGAUGGGGCAAUCCUGUAUCAAGAGCGCAGUCACCCUGCGCUGCCCAUCGAAAGGGAAAAGGGUUAAAAUUCCCUUACCUGGACGAGGCGGUUGGCGGUAACGCAAGCGAGCCCGGAGACAUCGGCAUUGGCCCUGGAAAGAGUUCUCUUUUCUUUUUAACGGCCCGAAGGCCCUGGAAUCGGAUCAUCCGGCGAUAGGGCUCAGUGGCCGGUAAAGCACCGCACUUCUCGCGGUGUCCGGCGCGCCAAUGACGGUCCUGGAAAAUCCGGGGGAGCGACUACCGAUCUCGCCAGGUCGUACUCAUAACCGCAUCAGGUCUCCAAGGUGAACAGCCUCUAGUCGAUAGAACAAUGUAGAUAAGGGAAGUCGGCAAAACAGAUCCGUAACUUCGGGAAAAGGAUUGGCUCUGAGGGCUAGGCUUUGGGAUCUGCGUUCGGAAUCCAUGGGCUGUCGGCUGUCUGCUUCCUUGGGCUCUGUCAAAGGAGUCUUUGGUGGUGGACGGCUGCGUGCCUGUGGUGGACGGGCGUGGAAAGCCCCUAAAAAGGCGCUCCUAUUGCGACGAAUAGCCAACUCAGAACUGGUACGGACAUGGGGAAUCCGACUGUUUAAUUAAAACAAA
rnacentral:rRNA from 1 species